AGAAAAGGUCCAGUCGGCCACUUAUGCACUAAGUAUAUUGGAAGAAAACAAUCAUUAAUAAAACGUUAUGAAGAACUGGAGAAUUUAUAUGAACAUGUGAAACAAGAAUUAUAAAUCACUCAAGAGGCUUUGACAAAAUUUCAAACUUCUCAUAAAGUAACCGCCAAAUCUGGUAUAGAACAAGAGCAGCAUGAAACAGCAGCUUAAGAAUCAUCACUAAAUAUCACAAGCGUAGAGCUUGAAAAUGAUACUAAAUCGGUGAGUGUAGAAAAGAAUAAUUUGAAAUCUAAAUACGAUAACGAGAAAAUGGUUGUUACUGAAACCAUGACCAAAUUACGUAAUCAGCGGCUUACACUCAAAGAAGAUGCUGCUACAUCUUCAAGUUUGAGAGCUAUGUUUGCUGCAUAGCAUGAAGAACAAGUGACUCUCAUGGAUAAUUUACAGCGACAGUAAGUUGCUGCUGGAGAAGAGAAAAAGACACUUAGUCAGCUGUUGCGUUUGUCUGAAGAACAAAAAUUGAUGGUCACCCAUCGGUUAGAGGAAAUUUAAAUGGACCGAGAAAUAAAAAAUCUCUUUAAAAACUCUUCAAGACAAUAAAAAACCUCAAAAAGGUAUA